rnacentral:rRNA from 1 species
CCCUACGGGGCGCAGCAGUGGGGGAUAUUGCACAAUGGGGGAAACCCUGAUGCAGCGACGCCGCGUGAGUGAAGAAGUAUUUCGGUAUGUAAAGCUCUAUCAGCAGGGAAGAAAAUGACAGUACCUGACCAAGAAGCCCCGGCUAACUACGUGCCAGCAGCCGCGGUAAUACGUAGGGGGCAAGCGUUAUCCGGAUUUACUGGGUGUAAAGGGAGCGUAGACGGUUAUGUAAGUCUGGAGUGAAAGCCCGGGGCCCAACCCCG